CCUACGGGGGGCAGCAGUGGGGAAUAUUGGGCAAUGGGCGCAAGCCUGACCCAGCAACGCCGCGUGAAGGAAGAAGGCUUUCGGGUUGUAAACUUCUUUUGUCAGGGACGAAGCAAGUGACGGUACCUGACGAAUAAGCGACGGCUAACUACGUGCCAGCCGCCGCGGCAAUACGUAGGUGGCAAGCGUUAUCCGGAUUUGCUGGGUGUAAAGCGCGUGUAGGCGGGACUGCAAGGCAGAUGUGAAAACCACGGGCUCAACCUGUGGCGUGCAUUUGACACUGUAGUUCUUGAGUACGGGAGAGGCAGACGGAAUUCCUGGUGUAGCGGUGAAAUGCGUAGAUAUUAGGAGGAACACCGAUGGCGAAGGCGGUCUGCUGGACAGCAACUGACGCUGAGGCGCGAAAGCGUGGGGAGCAAACAGGAUUAGAUACCCGGGUAGUC
rnacentral:rRNA from 1 species